GAUGAACGCUGGCGGCGUGCCUAAUACAUGCAAGUCGAGCGAAUGGAUUAAGAGCUUGCUCUUAUGAAGUUAGCGGCGGACGGGUGAGUAACACGUGGGUAACCUGCCCAUAAGACUGGGAUAACUCCGGGAAACCGGGGCUAAUACCGGAUAACAUUUUGAACCGCAUGGUUCGAAAUUGAAAGGCGGCUUCGGCUGUCACUUAUGGAUGGACCCGCGUCGCAUUAGCUAGUUGGUGAGGUAACGGCUCACCAAGGCAACGAUGCGUAGCCGACCUGAGAGGGGGAUGGGCCACACUGGAACGGAGACACGGCCCAGACUCCUACGGGAGGCAGCAGUAGGGAAUCUUCCGCAAUGGACGAAAGUCUGACGGAGCAACGCCGCGUGAGUGAUGAAGGCUUUCGGGUCGUAAAACUCUGUUGUUAGGGAAGAACAAGUGCUAGUUGAAUAAGCUGACACCUUGACGGUACCUAACCAGAAAGCCACGGCUAACUACAUGCCAGCAGCCGCCGUAA
rnacentral:rRNA from 1 species